ACCAUCUCCCACUCCUGCAGCUCUUCUCACAGGACCAGCCACUAGCGCAGCCUCGAGCGAUGGCCUAUGUCCCCGCACCGGGCUACCAGCCCACCUACAACCCGACGCUGCCUUACUACCAGCCCAUCCCGGGCGGGCUCAACGUGGGAAUGUCUGUUUACAUCCAAGGAGUGGCCAGCGAGCACAUGAAGCGGUUCUUCGUGAACUUUGUGGUUGGGCAGGAUCCGGGCUCAGACAUCGCCUUCCACUUCAAUCCGCGGUUUGACGGCUGGGACAAGGUGGUCUUCAACACGUUGCAGGGCGGGAAGUGGGGCAGCGAGGAGAGGAAGAGGAGCAUGCCCUUCAAAAAGGGUGCCGCCUUCGAGCUGGUCUUCAUAGUCCUGGCUGAGCACUACAAGGUGGUGGUAAAUGGAAAUCCCUUCUAUGAGUACGGGCACCGGCUUCCCCUACAGAUGGUCACCCACCUGCAAGUGGAUGGGGAUCUGCAACUUCAAUCAAUCAACUUCAUCGGAGGCCAGCCCCCCCGGCCCCAGGGACCCCCGAUGAUGCCACCUUACCCUGUAAGUACUUGCUGAUGGGUGAGGGUCUUCCCCCCUAGUGGGGUCCCUCAGCCCCUCUCACCUUUCCUGCUUUCCAUCCAUCGUUCAGGGUCCCGGACAUUGCCAUCAACAGCUGAACAGCCUGCCCGUGAGUGGGAGGGCUGGGAGGGCCCUGGGUGGGGAGUGGGAAUGGUGAGAAUUGGGGUAGGGGGAGCUAAGAGGGGUUGCAGCCCAAGGUGUACUAACCCAGCACCUAGAGAAACGCCGGAGUCUAAUGGGUGUGUCAUAGAUAUCUGUCGACUCUUGGAGAAUAAUAUCGCUUCUUCCUCACUUCACAGACCAUGGAAGGACCCCCAACCUUCAACCCGCCUGUGCCAUAUUUCGGGAGGCUGCAAGGAGGGCUCACAGCUCGAAGAACCAUCAUAAUCAA
rnacentral:sRNA from 1 species